rnacentral:misc_RNA from 1 species
GAUGAAGAACGUAGUGAAAUGCGAUAAGUAAUGCGAAUUGCAGAAUUUCCGUGAGUCAUCGAAUCUUUGAACGCACAUUGCGCCCGCCAGUAUUCUGGCGGGCAUGCCUGUUCGAGCGUCAUUACAACCCUCAGGCCCCCGGGCCUGGCGUUGGGGAUCGGCGGAGCCCCCCGUGGGCACACGCCGUCCCCCAAAUGCAGUGGCGGUCCCGCCGCAGCUUCCAUCGCGUAGUAGCUAACACCUCGCGACUGGAGAGCGGCGCGGCCACGCCGUAAAACACCCAACUCUUCUGAAGUUGACCUCGAAUCAGGUAGGAAUACCCGCUGAACUUAAGCAUAUCAAUAAGCGGAGGA